rnacentral:siRNA from 1 species
ACUAGAACCACAACCGGAUUCCGG